rnacentral:rRNA from 1 species
GAGUUUGAUCAUGGCUCAGAUUGAACGCUGGCGGCAUGCCUUACACAUGCAAGUCGAACGGCAGCACGGGAGCUUGCUCCUGGUGGCGAGUGGCGAACGGGUGAGUAAUGCAUCGGAACGUAUCCUGGAGUGGGGGAUAACGUAGCGAAAGUUACGCUAAUACCGCAUAUUCUGUGAGCAGGAAAGCGGGGGACCUUCGGGCCUCGCGCUCUUGGAGCGGCCGAUGUCGGAUUAGCUAGUUGGUGAGGUAAAGGCUCACCAAGGCGACGAUCCGUAGCAGGUCUGAGAGGAUGAUCUGCCACACUGGAACUGAGACACGGUCCAGACUCCUGCGGGAGGCAGCAGUGGGGAAUUUUGGACAAUGGGGGCAACCCUGAUCCAGCCAUGCCGCGUGAGUGAAGAAGGCCUUCGGUUGUAAG